UACGAAGGUGGCAAGCGUUACUCGGAAUUACUAGGCGUAAAGGGCAGGUAGGUGGUUUUGUAAGUCUGUUGUGAAAGCUCCCGGCUUAACUGGGAGAGGUCAACGGAUACUGCAGGACUUGAGUAUAGGAGAGGUUACUGGAAUUCCCGGUGUAGCGGUGAAAUGCGCAGAGAUCGGGAGGAAUACCAAUGGCGAAAGCAGGUAACUGGACUAUUACUGACACUCAGCUGCGAAAGCUAGGGGAGCAAACAGGAUUAGAUACCCCUGUAGU
rnacentral:rRNA from 1 species